rnacentral:rRNA from 1 species
AUUGAACGCUGGCGGCAUGCCUUACACAUGCAAGUCGAACGGUAACGCGGGGCAACCUGGCGACGAGUGGCGAACGGGUGAGUAAUGUAUCGGAACGUGCCCAGUUGUGGGGGAUAACUGCUCGAAAGAGCAGCUAAUACCGCAUACGACCUGAGGGUGAAAGCGGGGGAUCGCAAGACCUCGCGCAAUUGGAGCGGCCGAUAUCAGAUUAGGUAGUUGGUGAGGUAAAGGCUCACCAAGCCGACGAUCUGUAGCUGGUCUGAGAGGACGACCAGCCACACUGGGACUGAGACACGGCCCAGACUCCUACGGGAGGCAGCAGUGGGGAAUUUUGGACAAUGGACGCAAGUCUGAUCCAGCCAUGCCGCGUGCGGGAAGAAGGCCUUCGGGUUGUAAACCGCUUUUGUCAGGGAAGAAACGCUCUGGGUUAAUACCCCGGGGUAAUGACGGUACCUGAAGAAUAAGCACCGGCUAACUACGUGCCAGCAGCCGCCGUAAAAC